UGCGUAGAGUGCAUGGCCCGUACGGCCUCUGGCCUGCCCGAAUGCCUGCCAUCUCAUCGUGGGUCGUGGGCCUCGCACACGCUUUCGACAUGUCAGCUGGAAUGAGCUCACGUGACCAGUUAAAUUUCUUUCUUUUUUUGCCUCCAAAGUGGUUGAUGAGCACUUCUCUCCAAAGGACUUGCGAUGGGCGCUUCACAUAUCUGCUCCAAACCAUUUGCUCCAAACGGAGAAGUCCGCAAGUAUCCAGCAAGUGCGCUGUAUCGGUGCACAGGACAGAUUUUAAGAAGGAAAACGAAAAAGGCUGUUCCUUGUAGAGGCAGCUCAGUACUCCUAUAAGAUGUGACAUACAUAGAUCUGUACAAACUGUACACAGAUCCCUGCGUGAUGUCCUGUACGCGAGUACAGCUGUGCGUACGAACCUCCCCUACGAGCACACAAUCCUUGAAUCUCCUGCUGGGAAGAAAAAGAAUACCUUCUCUGUCUUUAUGAGGAAACAAAGAAAUUAAAGCUCUUUGGCUACGCGUAAUGAAAUGUA